rnacentral:rRNA from 1 species
GGAGGUAGUGACGUGAAAUAACGAUGCGGGACUCUUCCGAGGCCUCGCAAUCGGAAUGAGUUAACUUUAAAUCCUUUCGACGAGGAUCGAUUGGAGGGCAAGUCUGGUGCCAGCAGCCGCGGUAAUUCCAGCUCCAAUAGCGUAUAUUAAAGUUGCUGCGGUUAAAAAGCUCGUAGUUGGAUCUCACGAUUCGAAAGACGGAGAGCGCCGUUGACGCAGUCGUGGUAGUAGUAGUACUACUACACCACGAAUCCACCUUCUCAUUCGUUUCGUUACGGUAGAAGGAGUAAUAAUAGUACGGGGAUGUCGAAUGCGCGAACAGGAUUUAUGAAGACGGUACGAGUUGAUUUUCUGACGGUGGUGGCGGAGGCGGUCGUCGUUGCUGCUGCUGCUGCUGUUGUUGCGGUGGUACGCUAGUGGCGAACGACCGUCGCCGCUACCGCUUCUACUACUUCGUUAAUCGUUGAUGUCCUCUUCGUUGCUUUGGCUAAUACCACUAUUCCUCUUCCUUCUUUCCAACGGACGAAAAAGAGAAGGCGAACGCCGAAGUGUCCCGGCGUAAAUAAACAACCGUCCUUUUCGAUGAAAAAUAUUGUUCGGCCGGCCAGCGGCGUAGUAGUAGCCUCACCGGAAAGGGUGGUAGAAGGUGGUAUCAUUAUGGCAAUAAUAAUACAUCUUCCACCUUCGAUGGCGGUGGUGACUCUCGCGCGCUCGCGUUCGGUCGGCAACUUCACUUUGACAAAAUUAGAGUGCUCAGAGCGGGCAAGAUCUGAAGCCCGAAUGGAGGUGCAUAGAAUGAUCUAAGAUGACCUCGCGAUCUAAACGUUUGUCGGUUUAUGGGGUCGCGAGGUAAUGAUUAAA